rnacentral:lncRNA from 1 species
CAAAACCACAAAAAAUAAUUACUCAAAGCCUUCAUUAGUCACCAUUAAGAAAAUCCAAAAUCAUAAAAGAAGAUCUUUACUCAAAACCUUCUCUAAUAACCAUUUGAACCCACCUUCCCUCCCAAAAGACCGUCACUCAAAGCCAUCAAUAAUCACUACCAAAAACUCUACUCCAAAACAUUCAUUAGUUAUUACACAAACAAAAAAUAAAAAAAACCAUCCACUAAAACCUUCAUUAGCAAAAAACCACAUCAUCAAAACUCUAUACAAAUCCAUCACAAGUUACCCCUACAACU